ensembl:lncRNA
CAGUACUCUGUUGCUUUCUGUUAUUGCAAUUAUUCGUAAUAGUUAAUUUCCCAACAUCCUUCUCCAGGAAAGAUAAUUACUUCUGGUUGCCACAGCACAGAGGAAACAAUGACCAGCGUGACUAAGAGAGCUCCGUGAAAGACUUGAGAUUUGAAAACCAGCUUUGUCCUUUGGUAUCGCUAAGCUGAGAUCACAGGAGAACACAGCUACGUGUUCAAAUAGUGAACCAGGAGCCCCUUACCUACCAAAUUUAAUCCACUGACUUGACCUUCAAAACAUGCAGGAGCCAGUCACAGUCAUUGUUAUUGGACCACCUGCCCAGGGGCGCCACCAAUCAUAAUGGGUUGGGCCCUCACACAUCAAUCACUAAUCAAGAACGUGCCCUGCAGACUUGUCUACCUGCCAAUCUGAUGGAGGCACGCUCUCAACUGAGGUUUUACCAAUCUGAUGGAGGCACGCUCUCAACUGAGGUUUUAUCUUUCCAAGUGGUCCGGCUUGUGUCAAGUUGUCAGGAAGCUGACCAUCCCAACCUCUAGAGUAGUUAGGUUUUUUUGUUUUGUUUUGUUUUUUGUUUCAGAUCAGGCCCUCCAGGGGAAGCAAAAGA